rnacentral:rRNA from 1 species
GACGAACGCUGGCGGCGUGCCUAAUACAUGCAAGUAGAACGCACAGUUUAUACCGUAGCUUGCUACACCAUAGACUGUGAGUUGCGAACGGGUGAGUAACGCGUAGGUAACCUGCCUGGUAGCGGGGGAUAACUAUUGGAAACGAUAGCUAAUACCGCAUAAUAUUGAUUAUUGCAUGAUAAUUAAUUGAAAGGUGCAAUUGCACCACUACCAGAUGGACCUGCGUUGUAUUAGCUAGUAGGUGAGGUAACGGCUCACCUAGGCGACGAUACAUAGCCGACCUGAGAGGGUGAUCGGCCACACUGGGACUGAGACACGGCCCAGACUCCUACGGGAGGCAGCAGUAGGGAAUCUUCGGCAAUGGACGAAAGUCUGACCGAGCAACGCCGCGUGAGUGAAGAAGGUUUUCGGAUCGUAAAGCUCUGUUGUAAGAGAAGAACGGGUGUGAGAGUGGAAAGUUCACACUGAGACGGUAUCUUACCAGAAAGGGACGGCUAACUACGUG